UUGCCCUGCAGACAGGGAUAACAGACGGAAACGACUGAUAACACCUGGUAUUGUCAGGCUGGCGCAUGCCGGCCUGAUGAAAGGAGACGCUGCAGGAGAGCCUUGCGUCCUAUUAGCUAGUUGGUGGGGUAACGGCCCACCAAGGCGAUGAUAGGUAGCCGGCCUGAGAGGGUGAACGGCCACAAGGGGACUGAGAUACGGCCCUUACUCCUACGGGAGGCAGCAGUGGGGAAUAUUGGACAAUGGGGGCAACCCUGAUCCAGCAAUUCUGUGUGCACGAAGAAGGUUUUCGGAUUGUAAAGUGCUUUCAGCAGGGAAGAAGAAAGUGACGGUACCUGCAGAAGAAGCGACGGCUAAAUACGUGCCAGCAGCCGCGGUAAUACGUAUGUCGCAAGCGUUAUCCGGAAUUAUUGGGCAUAAAGGGCAUCUAGGCGGCCCUGUAAGUCUAGGGUGAAAACCUGCGGCUCAACCGCAGGCCUGCCCCGGAAACUACAGGGCUAGAGUAUCGGAGAGGUGGACGGAACUGCACGAGUAGAGGUGAAAUUCGUAGAUAUGUGCAGGAAUGCCGAUGAUGAAGAUAGUUCACUGGACGGUAACUGACGCUGAAGUGCGAAAGCUAGGGGAGCAAACAGGAUUAGAUACCCUGGUAGUCCUAGCUGUAAACGAUGAUUACUGGGUGUGGGCAUGAAGAGUGUCCGUGCCGAAGCAAAUGCGAUAAGUAAUCCGCCUGGGGAGUACGGCCGCAAGGCUGAAACUCAAAGGAAUUGACGGU
rnacentral:rRNA from 1 species